rnacentral:lncRNA from 1 species
CAUACGGUUGCCUAAGCACAACACGAGUCAGGGGACUUACCUUGGCCUCAGUUCCAACCUGCAAUUCAAGGUUAAACACAGAUAUUCAAAUAAUUCACGACAUUCGAUCAAGCACUGGUCAAUCGACUAAGUCGAUUACAUGUCAGCCAGACCCUUUCUAGGUCAUUCCCACUCAUACCACGCUUUCCCAGUGGUGUACUCAUUCACCAAAUCACAUGUGUUUCUCGGGCGUCGUUUUCGCCAAUGACAUACCGAUCACCGACACCGUGCGUUCUUUAAGGCGCCG